rnacentral:rRNA from 1 species
ACGCCCAACAGCUAGCCCACCUAAACAAUUUCAACAAACCCCUGUUAAUACCCCCUAAGUACCCCAGUAUUUAAAUUAAACAAACCAUUUUUCCCCCUUAGUAUAGGCGAUAGAAAAGGGCCCCCGGCGCAAUAGAGAAAGUACCGCAAGGGAACGCUGAAAGAGAAGUGAAAUAACCCAGUAAAGCCUUAAAAAGCAGAGAUUUAAACUCGUACCUUUUGCAUCAUGAUUUAGCGAGUGUACCUCAAGCAAAGAGCACUUUAGUUUGACGUCCCGAAACUACGUGAGCUACUCCAAGACAGCCUAUUAAUAGGGCGCACCCGUCUCUGUGGCAAAAGAGUGGGGAGAGCUUUGAGUAGAGGUGACAAACCUACCGAACC